rnacentral:lncRNA from 1 species
UUUAUUAAUACAUUUGUCGUGCAAAAUACGACAACAUAUAUACUGUGAGUUUAAAUACAAUUAUUGUCUUCUAGACAAUAUACAUACCCAAAUAAAUCCCCAUCAUAAUUAUUGAUACAUUAUUUUACAAAAAUGGUGAGGACUACUAAACAACUCUCUCUAGAACCUUCAUUCCAUACCCCGACUAGUACUCGCUACAUUCUCGCCUCCUGAGAAGAAAAAUGGAACAAAAAGGAAAAGGGUGAGCUCAACUAGCCCAGUAAAGAAUAUUAUGACUAAGAUAAUAUACAACAAAUUAUCGUUAGUCUUCAACAGGGAAAAAUCUAAUAGAAUACAAUAGACAACCAGUUUUAAAUCAAUCUUCGCAGCGGAAAUAAUAAUUCAUUAGAAGAGUUAAGUAGAGAAUGCAAACUACUAUCUUCUAUAUAUGAAUUUAAAAGUUCAUCGUCGAUAUUUUAUCCCUGUAACAUCAAUCAAUAUAUAUCUGGAAUCAAAUAUUCAUCUUUGCACUACAGGCCAAAGAUAUUCAUCAGUUGGUCAUGUUCAUCUAAACACCUGUUCAUCUUUGCACUACGGGCCAAAGAUAUUAAUCAGUCGGUCAUGUUCAUCUCAACACCUGUUCAUCUUUGCACUACGGGCCAAAGAUAUUCAUCAAGAAAUCAUUCAUCUUUGCACUACAGGCCAAAGAUAUUCAGUAAUAUCAUCAUUUAGGACUGAGGAUGAUGAAAAAUAUUUUAAAGAAAACGAAUCCAGUGAAACAAAAGAAUAAAUAUUAAGGAUUCGUAUUUCAGCUAUUCCAUGUCCAAAAAUACCUCAUAAAUAAUCAUAGUGGAGUAAAAUUCAAGAAUGAUCAAAACAUGGAUACAAUCAAAGCUAGUAUCCAUAAUAGAUAUUUUGGACAAAAAGAAGAAAUUUCAUUUUUCGGUGAAUAGUGCCGUAUUCGUGAAUAGUGCCGUAUACGUGAAUAGUGCCGUAUACGUGAAUAGUAACUCCGACACCAAAAGAUAGAAAUUUCACAAAAAACAUCUUCACGCUUCGUGAAUAGUACUCGUGAAUAGUAACUCGUGAAUAGUAACUCAUGAAUAGUAACUCGUGAAUAGUAACUCAUGAAUAGUAACCCCGACAUGAAAAAGUUCCAAAUUUGAUAAAAAUUUCCAACCAAUAUUUCGGCAUAAUGAUAUUGAAGAAAUAAUAUCAUUUUCGAAUAAAAUAACAUCCCUUACCUCGAAAGACAGUACUUCUAGUUGAAACACCGGAUAUAGGCUAUGACUUGAACUUGCACCGUAUAGCAAUACUCAAAGUAUACUCAAAAUACUCACAAGAAUACGCUCGAUAAUAUAGAGAGAGAAAACUUCAGUUUCUGGUGUGAUUUUCAAUUCUAACCUAAGCACCCUAUUUAUAGGAAAAUGCUUAGAACACCAAAGUAGAAAAUUUAAUAAAUUAAUAUUAUAAUUUUUCCACAACUUCAUACGCACACUAACAAUCUGAAUUCAGCCUCCUAAUCACAUGUUAAAUGAGUUUCAAAAAUGAAAAAAACGUUUUUGUAAUUAAAAAUAUUUUAAACUUCCAAAAAUCAAUUAUUUCGGAACUUCGGAACUUCAAUAAUUCAUAAUAAAUAGCCCUUUUAUCAGAAAAUUCGAAUCUCGCGACUUUUUAUAGGAAAUUCAAUUCUCUACAACUUUGCAGAAGAAAGUUUUUCCAAAUUCCAAACAGAAAUUGACCGAAAUCCACAAACGGGCGAUUUUACAGGCUAUAAUCAAAUUUCGGUCAAUAAUUGUGUCCACCAACACACAAAAUAUGUGUUAAACAUUUAAUGCCACAAAAAUACUCUUCCUCCUCAUAUACUCAUAUAUCCCACAUUCAUUAUAAAAAUAUCACCGUUAAUAUAUUAUUAAAAUAAUAUAUUUAAAUGAAUUAUUUUAUCAGAAAAAGAUAAAAUAUUAAUUUUCAACAAUUGUCACAUUAAAAAUUUUCUCCAUCUAUAUCCACAUAAAAUCAAUAUUUUCCUCAUCAUAUAAAUCAAUAAUUAAUUAUUCACAAAUAAUAUUACAGAAUCACAGUACUGGCAACCAGGCAGUUCCCAGGAAAGAGGGGGCUUUCCAAUAAGGAUCUCUCCUUACUGGCGCGCAAUUAGGUGACCAAACCUCUCCUUAGACAGAACUUUCUAGACAUUGCCAAUAAUGUUAUCCAAUAAUAUUAUUCAGAUAAUAUGAAUUAUUGCUCCGAUAAUGGAAAAUACUGUGUAAUGACAAUUUAUUGAAACAACAGUAAUAUAAAAUAUCAAUGCAGCAAUUAUUGAAUCAAUAAAAUAAAAUACUGAACAGUAAUUACUGUAACAAUUAUUGAGUAGUGCCUUCUUACGUAAGAAUCAAUAAUUGGUGCAAUACCGUGUGCUACUGUUCAACAACGCGUAUUAGUGUGUUUUAACCACCGGGUAUUCCAACAGUAUUAACGGUAACAACUACGCCGUUAUUUAUAAACAACUUAUAUUUGUCGUUUUCUUCAUCCAAUCGCUUUCCGUUAUGGGGCCCACAAAAGACUGCGCCGUCGUACGAAUAUUCUCCGACAGUACGAAUAUUCCACGACCAAACGAAUAUUCCCCGACAAUAAUGAAUAUUUUAUAACCACUUGCUUAUUCGAAAUAUUUGCGUAUUUUACCCAUAACUAUCCACAUUAAUCAAAUCAACCCUUACUAUUUCAAAAUAAUAAAUAGAGGAAAAUAAAUUUCAUUUAUUAAUAAUUUGGGGUCUUACAUUUUCUUACUUUUAACAUACAUUAUACAAGUGAAUUAAAUGCAGUAUACAGUAUGUGGCUUCAACUCCCUGAAAGGGUAUUCAAAACAUCAAGAAAGAAAAAAGGAGUUCAAAAAUGUUAGCUUCAAGCACAUGGACAUUUACAGUGUACAAACGUAUCAACAUCAUAAGAUUGUUCAUACAAUUUCGGUGACCCGAAAACCAUUCCCACUGCCAACUUCAACAUGCACUCAACACUAUUUUUCAUGUUAAUUGUAGUGUUCACAUUAGAUUCUUCAGACAAAAAAAACGUCCGCAACAUUUAUGUAAAAACAGAAAACUUAUUGCAUGCAAGUUCCUUUCCUCCAAGUUCAUCAAAUUAUAUGUUAUUACUAAUUUACUUGUACAUAUGAGCACAGCCAACUUCAGAAAAAAGACAGAAUAGUUUCCAAAAAAAAAAUCCUUGCGGAAUUGGAAAUGCAAAAUUCAGUUAUCAGUCAGUUCAAAAAUAAAAUAGUAGAAGACAGAAAUUGGGAUCCAUAGAGACUCAAACCAUAAACAAUAAUUCAUCUCCCAAUCUCUUUCUUUCAAUAGGAUUCGGUUUAAAUCCAUCCAGCUAUAAUUCAAACUUACAUAUUAAAAGUAAGAAAAAAUCAAGUCCAAUGAACAACAUUACUUCUUCAGGGCAGACCUACAUUCUCCCUCCAAAAUUUAGAAAACCCCUGCAUUCCCUUUUAAAAUUUCAAUAUGGUAGCCCCAAUUUUAAAUACCUCUAAGUUAUGGAUAGUGAAAAACAAAUAUCAUGAUUUACAAAAACAUUUAAAAUAAUAGACCACUUUCCCAGAUCAAUAAAAAAAAUCAGCAACAACCAAGAAAUUGUUGAGGGUCCCCCAUUUUGAAAUGUCUGACUCUACCACUAAACUUCCUAUAAAAAACCCAUUAUACAAUAAACACUCAAAAUCACUUAGUGUAAUAAAACACAUAAAAAUCAAAUUCCAACUUUUCUUGAAGCCCAUUAUAUAAUUGCUCGAGACUUAGAAGUUAAAUGACUUAUAAGUUUAAAUUUAAAAGUGUUUGGUAAACUGAUUAUAAUCAUUUUUAUGAAGCUCCAAUGGUCAAAUCUAAUAAUCAGACCAGUAUCACUAAUUUAUCUCUAUUUAUUUUAAUAAUUCCAAUUACUACCCAUAUUUACUUUUCAAAACAUUCAUUUUUAGUAAUUUACACUUGAAAUAAGUGAUUAACAAAUUUCUUUAUACCAAACAUUUUUCACUUAUUACUAAUUUAAAUGUUCUUUAUUUACCAAACAUAAACUACUUUUUUAAAAUUGAUUAUAAUCAAAAGCACUAAUCAAUAAUAACAUUUUUUAAGCAAUCCCAAACAUACUCUUAAGUCAAAAUAAAAGUGUUUGGCACCAUUCUAACUUAUAAGUCAAAAUUAAGUUAAAAUAAAAUACGAAGGUGAUUUGCUAAAAUGGCUUAUAAAAUAAAAUAAGAUAUAAAGACUACAAAAAUAAGGGUUGGUCAAAAUUACUUAUUUUAAAAGGAUUUAUAAGUCAUUUUUCAAGUAUAGAUCAAAAAAAUAACACUUCAACAGUGUGUAUAUAUAAAUUAUAAGUUGGUUUGACCAACUUAUAAGCUGUCGCUGAACAGGCUCUUAACUACCUUGGAAUUUGGAAGCCCAUUACAGAAUGAGACCUCAAAAUCACUUGUAUUCAUAUUAAAUCACUAAAAAAUUAACUCCAUUGUAAGAAGCCCGUUAUAUGAUUGCGAAAUAAAACUUAAAAAUCCGUACCUGAGAGGAGUUGAAGUUUGAGUCUGAACUGAAACUGAAACUGGAGGUGCAGCGUGCAGGUAGAGAUAAAGGGAGUGAAGGAGUGAUAAAUAUAUAUAGUAUC